UCAUCGGGAGGGGCCCGUUUGCAGCCUUGCCGACUUGUUGCCUUUGUCACUAGAUAUACCGACUUUUCUCGGCCCUUUAGCGACUUGGUUGGACGAAUCUUAGCCACUUUCCACAGACGGGGGUUGCCCGCGUUGUCGCGUUUAGACGAAGACGGGUUUUGCCUCCACAGGCUCACCUCUCCCCGGUCCCAGCCGACCGCGGGACAGCUGCACAGACGCGAAUGAGCGUCUGACUUUCUCUCCUAGUGACCAUUUUACAGACGACGUCGCGGUUGUAAAAUCGGGAUUUUGGUUGGAAACGGCUUGGGAGUGACCGGUGCUGGUUAACCUGUCGACUUGAUGGGCCGCAUUACAGUCGCUUUUUCAUGCUAGUUUACUUGUUUGACAACAGGAAAUGAAAAAACAUGAGAACAGCUUUAUUGGGAAUUUUUCUUUAUUACAAUACUGUUUAUAUGAGCACAGAGAGUAGAAGAGAUUUAAACAGAUAAAGGGCGAUCCAGCCACAUACUAAGUUUUGACUUAGUCUUAUAAAUAUGUAUUUUUGAUCAGCCACAUAAUUUGCCUAACAAAGGUUUUGUUGGAUAAUUGUUUACAACAGCACUAUUUUUCAUGCUGAUAAAUUGGUUAAGUAAAUAUUUUUGCUUUUGUGCACUAAAUAUGUGGAUAGAAUCUUAAAUAUUAUUUGAAAACAUUUACAGUACACCAAUAUUACUCUUCAUGAAUAUUCAGAUCUGGAUGUCAUAAUGGAUGUUAUUGGUUGAAAAAUACAAAUCUUUAUAUUGCUGUCUACCAAUGUACAAUGACCGUGCACUUCUUUUGGUACACAGAAGGGAACGGCUGAAGGAUCAAGCAAAAGCGAUUGCGAUGGAUACUGUGGUCUUUUUUUGAAUACGUUAUGUCUUUGACUGGAGAGAUACCGUUGUGUUUUCAUUUGCUCUCUAAAAGUAGAUAAGAGAAGACAAUGUUUGCUCAUUCGGUCCCGCUGAGAAAGCGUUUAACAAGGGGACAGAGCUGUUUGCAACUUCACCUAUGAUAGUGAGUGCUGCAAGUGACAGUCUAUGAAAGAACCCCCCCCCUCCACUCUUGAUACUUGAAAUGCAUCUUUUAUCUUCCCUGAGCAUUAUAAUCACCUCUAUACUUAGAAUAGAGUAAAUUCUUCUCUCCCAUGUUGUCCAGUAAUUUGCGUGGUCUUAUCAGUUGACUACAUUUUUUUCUCACUCAGCACUUAAACAAGAUUGUGUAUAAUGCAUAAAUACAUAAUAAAUCAACAUACAUUACAUGUAGUUAGUGUAAUUAAAUUUACAGCAAACACAUCCAUGUUUCAUUCAUCUUAUUUUAGUCCUGUCAAUGGCAGUUCUACUCUAGUUGAGAGCUAUUCAUAGGUUUUCAUCAGCACUCGUUGAACACUAUGCUUCCCUACAAAGGCACAAAGCACUAACUACAUAUUUGGUCAAAACUGAGUUACUGUAUAACUGGUAUCUGACUCUCUGACAUCGGUUUUACUAUAUAAAAAUCAAUAUGCCAUAGAAAGGUUCUAAUUUCCGUCCAAACAGUAUAUUUAGUUUGCAGUAACUACAAAACUGACCUAAGAGCCGCAGUAUGGGGUAUCUGCAGUUUGUCUGUGUUGUUGUAUUCUGGCUUGAUUUCACUGCCCAGACUGCAGUUACUGCACUCUGCUUUGGCAAUCUGUAUGCUGUAGGACUCAUCACUGCACUUACUGUACUGUACCAUUACUGCAUGUGUCAAUAAAAAAUAUCCCUUUUUAUUAA